rnacentral:rRNA from 1 species
AUUGAACGCUGGCGGCAGGCCUAACACAUGCAAGUCGAACGGUAACAGGAAGAAGCUUGCUUCUUUGCUGACGAGUGGCGGACGGGUGAGUAAUGUCUGGGAUACUGCCUGAUGGAGGGGGAUAACUACUGGAAACGGUAGCUAAUACCGCAUAACGUCGCAAGACCAAAAAGGGGGACCUUCGGGCCUCUUGCCAUCGGAUGUGCCCAGAUGGGAUUAGCUAGUAGGUGGGGUAACGGCUCACCUAGGCGACGAUCCCUAGCUGGUCUGAGAGGAUGACCAGCCACACUGGAACUGAGACACGGUCCAGACUCCUACGGGAGGCAGCAGUGGGGAAUAUUGCACAAAGGGCGCAAGCCUGAUGCAGCCAUGCCGCGUGUAUGAAGAAGGCCUUCGGGUUGUAAAGUACUUUCAGCGGGGAGGAAGGGAGUAAAGUUAAUACCUUUGCUCAUUGACGUUACCCGCAGAAGAAGCACCGGCUAACUCCGUG